AGAGUUUGAUCAUGGCUCAGAUUGAACGCUGGCGGCAGGCCUAACACAUGCAAGUCGAACGGUAACAGGAAACAGCUUGCUGUUUCGCUGACGAGUGGCGGACGGGUGAGUAAUGUCUGGGAAACUGCCUGAUGGAGGGGGAUAACUACUGGAAACGGUAGCUAAUACCGCAUAACGUCGCAAGACCAAAGAGGGGGACCCUCGGGCCUCUUGCCAUCGGAUGUGCCCAGAUGGGAUUAGCUUGUUGGUGGGGUAACGGCUCACCAAGGCGACGAUCCCUAGCUGGUCUGAGAGGAUGACCAGCCACACUGAACUGAGACACGGUCCAGACUCCUACGGGAGGCAGCAGUGGGGAAUAUUGCACAAUGGGCGCAAGCCUGAUGCAGCCAUGCCGCGUGUAUGAAGAAGGCCUUCGGGUUGUAAAGUACUUUCAGCGGGGAGGAAGGGAGUAAAGUUAAUACCUUUGCUCAUUGACGUUACCCGCAGAAGAAGCACCGGCUAACUCCGUGCCAGCAGCCGCGGUAAUACGGAGGGUGCAAGCGUUAAUCGGAAUUACUGGGCGUAAAGCGCACGCAGGCGGUUUGUUAAGUCAGAUGUGAAAUCCCCGGGCUCAACCUGGGAACUGCAUCUGAUACUGGCAAGCUUGAGUCUCGUAGAGGGGGGUAGAAUUCCAGGUGUAGCGGUGAAAUGCGUAGAGAUCUGGAGGAAUACCGGUGGCGAAGGCGGCCCCCUGGACGAAGACUGACGCUCAGGUGCGAAAGCGUGGGGAGCAAACAGGAUUAGAUACCCUGGUAGUCCACGCCGUAAACGAUGUCGACUUGGAGGUUGUGCCCUUGAGGCGUGGCUUCCGGAGCUAACGCGUUAAGUCGACCGCCUGGGGAGUACGGCCGCAAGGUUAAAACUCAAAUGAAUUGACGGGGGCCCGCACAAGCGGUGGAGCAUGUGGUUUAAUUCGAUGCAACGCGAAGAACCUUACCUGGUCUUGGCAUCCACGGAAGUUUUCAGAGAUGAGAAUGUGCCUUCGGGAACCGUGAGACAGGUGCUGCAUGGCUGUCGUCAGCUCGUGUUGUGAAAUGUUGGGUUAAGUCCCGCAACGAGCGCAACCCUUAUCCUUUGUUGCCAGCGGUCCGGCCGGGAACUCAAAGGAGACUGCCAGUGAUAAACUGGAGGAAGGUGGGGAUGACGUCAAGUCAUCAUGGCCCUUACGACCAGGGCUACACACGUGCUACAAUGGCGCAUACAAAGAGAAGCGACCUCGCGAGAGCAAGCGGACCUCAUAAAGUGCGUCGUAGUCCGGAUUGGAGUCUGCAACUCGACUCCAUGAAGUCGGAAUCGCUAGUAAUCGUGGAUCAGAAUGCCACGGUGAAUACGUUCCCGGGCCUUGUACACACCGCCCGUCACACCAUGGGAGUGGGUUGCAAAAGAAGUAGGUAGCUUAACCUUCGGGAGGGCGCUUACCACUUUGUGAUUCAUGACUGGGGUGAAGUCGUAACAAGGUA
rnacentral:rRNA from 1 species